GAUGCCUAUCAACUGUUUAAAAGAUGGUUCUGCUAUCACUCUUGGGAUGGACCUGCGGUGCAUUAGCUAGUUGUAGGGUAACGGCCUACCAAGGCGAUGAUGCAUAGCCCGAGUUGAGAGACUGAUCGGCCACAUUGGGACUGAGACACGGCCCAAAAACUCCUACGGGAGGCAGCAGUAGGGAAUCUUCCACAAUGGACGCAAGUCUGAUGGAGCAACGCCGCGUGAGUGAAGAAGGGUUUUCGGCUCGUAAAGCUCUGUUGUUGGUGAAGAAGGACAGGGGUAGUAACUGACCUUUGUUUGACGGUAAUCAAUUAGAAAGUCACGGCUAACUACGUGCCAGCAGCCGCGGUAAU
rnacentral:rRNA from 1 species